CCUACGGGGGACAGCAGUGAGGAAUAUUGGUCAAUGGACGAGAGUCUGAACCAGCCAAGUAGCGUGAAGGAUGACUGCCCUAUGGGUUGUAAACUUCUUUUAUAUGGGAAUAAAAUGUUCCACGUGUGGGAUUUUGUAUGUACCAUAUGAAUAAGGAUCGGCUAACUCCGUGCCAGCAGCCGCGGUAAUACGGAGGAUCCGAGCGUUAUCCGGAUUUAUGGGGUUUAAAGGGAGCGUAGGUGGAUUGUUAAGUCAGUUGUGAAAGUUUGCGGCUCAACCGUAAAAUUGCAGUUGAAACUGGGAGUCUUGAGUACAGUAGAGGUGGGCGGAAUUCGUGGUGUAGCGGUGAAAUGCUUAGAUAUCACGAAGAACUCCGAUUGCGAAGGCAGCUCACUGGACUGCAACUGACACUGAGGCUCGAAAGUGUGGGUAUCAAACAGGAUUAGAUACCCUAGUAGUC
rnacentral:rRNA from 1 species